rnacentral:rRNA from 1 species
GAUUAGGUUGUUGGCAGUGUAAAGGACCACCAAGCCUGAGAUCGGUACGGGCACUGAGAGGUGGAGCCCGGAGAUGGGGGCUGAGACACGGCUCCAGGCCCUACGGGGCGCAGCAGGCGCGAAAACUCCGCAAUGCGCGAAAGCGUGACGGGGGGACCUCAAGUGUGCUCACGUUUAGUGGGUACUUUUGCAGAGUAUAAAUAGCUCUGAGAAUAAGAGCGGGGUAAGACCGGUGCCAGCCGCCGCGGUAACACCGGCCGCUCAAGUGGUGGCCACUAUUAUUGGGCCUAAAGCGUUCGUAGCCGGUCCGUUAAGUCCCUUGGGAAAUCCGCUCGAUUAACGAAUGGAAGUCCAGGGGAUACUGGUGGACUAGGGGGCGAGAGAAGUCAGAGGUACUCCGGGGGUAGCGGUGAAAUGCUGUAAUCCUCGGGGGACCACCAGUGGCGAAGGCGUCUGACUAGAGCGCGCCCGACGGUGAUGGACGAAAGCCAGGGGAGCGAACGGGAUUAGAUACCCCGGUAGUCCUGGCCGUAAACGCUGCGGGCUAGGUGUUACGUCCUCUACGAGGGGAUGUAGUGCCGAAGAGAAGUUGAUAAGCCCGCCGCCUGGGAAGUAUUACCGCAAGG